rnacentral:rRNA from 1 species
AUGAGGAUAGCCACACUAACCACAAUGAUUGUACCACUUUCUAGUGGUGCGGCCUCGAGGCCAGCUGUGCCUACUCCUUCACUUGGCCAACAACCUCCUAGUAAUGAACACUCCAGUGUUCCUUGGCUUUAUGCAAGACCUCAAAUAGAGAAACCUAAGUAUAACCCUCAAGGCAAACCUCCUUUACUUGAUGCCACUACAUAUUUUGCUUUGUGGAGAGUUGCUAUGCAGGAUCAUCUUCGAUAUGGAACUGAUGAGAUGUUGGAUAUCUUGGAGUAUGACUACCAAGCUGUUGACCCAAAGAAUCUUACUCCAAGAGAAGUAUAUGACAAGAAUCUCAACGACACAACAACCAUGUGCAUAACAAGAGGUAUGACUAACAAGCAAAGGAGACCAUACAUACAUAUCACAGGUGCCAAGGAAUUAUGGGAUAUCAUUGUGAGGACCAAGACCGGUACCUCCACUCUCAGACUCUCUCAAUAUGAAAUUGCCAAGGGUAAAUCGCAAAACUUUUGA